AUUAGCAGCCAUGUCACUCUACAACUCACAACUGGCAGCCCACUGAAGCUAAGCAGGUGUGAGCCUGGUCAGUACCUGGAUGGGAGACCUUCUGGGAAAAACUAAGGCUGCUGCUGGAA
rnacentral:rRNA from 1 species